rnacentral:tRNA from 1 species
CAAGACUUAUGAGAAACUAACCCACAUCUCCUGAAUGCAACCCAGGCACUUUCAUUAAGCUAAAGCCUCC